rnacentral:rRNA from 1 species
GAUUUCUGGUUCGGCGCACUUGGCCCGUCUCGGUUUACGAGAUUGUGUGCCGGUGUGCGCCAUCCAUCCUUCGAUGAAUUUCUGGACUACCCUUCACUGGGCGGUUCAGAGGGAUUCUCGAUCUUUUACUUUGAAAAAAUUAGAGUGUUUCAAGCAGGCUUUAUGCUAUGAAUACAUUAGCAUGGAAUAAUAAUUUAGGACUUCGGUUCUAUUUUGUUGGUUUCUAGGACUGAAGUAAUGAUUGAUAGGGAUAGUUGGGGGUGCUAGUAUUCAGCGGCCAGAGGUGAAAUUCUCGGAUUCGCUGAAGACUAACUUAUGCGAAAGCAUU